AUCACUUCUUGGCCUUUCGGCUAAGAUCAAAUGUAGUAUCUGUUCUAGUUUAACAUCUGAUAUGCCGUCUAUUUGAGGACAAUGUAUUAAAUGGAUUUUUAGACAGAGAGAUGGAAUAGGAACCCGCUCCGUCCACUCCACACAUCAACCUGGUAUUGCAGUACCUCCAGGAAUGGUGCACAGAAG
rnacentral:snRNA from 1 species